GCUGGCCGUGAUGAGCCACUUGCCCUCUCUGAGAACAGAGUUCGGUAAUGGGAAAACGCCUGA
rnacentral:snoRNA from 1 species